CUUCCUUCAGAGAUAUUUAUUGUAACGAUACAAGGAGGAAUUUGAUCUGAAAAAGUCACCUGUUUGUUUACUUUCAAAUUAGUAAUCAGUUAUUAUCGCUUCUCCAUAAUUUUAACCGUUCAGUGUUAUUUACCCCCCACCCUUCCCAGACGCUGGAGUGUAUAGAAAUAUGUAUGAGGUAAAUACAUACAGACAUGCCUCCCCCAUAUAUUGUUGAUGUAAAUAUAGACUGUGUGUUUGCAUCUCCAGUUAAGGAAAGGGUUUCAGAAUGUCCGUGGGGACACGUCCCUCCAGGGCCGGCUGUCGAGGACCCGGAAAACCACAGCCCCUAAGAGUUCCAGAUUUUCCAAGACCCUUAUACUCUCUUCCUGUAGAAUUUCAUACUGGGGGUUUUGCAUUGUUUUGCAGGCAUGUAACCAUUUCUGGGUGAUUCAUUUAUCUAUAAAGGAAAUGCAAAGUGGCAGGGUGUCUGCCCCAGUCCGCAUUCUGCUUGCAGAUUGCUGACGAAAGUUGAUAUCUUCAUGUUUGUCCCAGGAGCUUCAUAAAGCGCCCUCUUCACCUGUGGAGCCCGAGCGACCAGAAAAAUUCGCUCGCUUUCCUAACUGCUGAAGGCGAGUCCGGCCCGCGCGGGGGACUGCGCCCGAGGCCCGGCAAGCUUAGGCGGGGACUAGCAGGGCCCUCGGCGGGCGGGCCCCCAGCGAAAAGGCCUGAGAAUUGCUUCUGGGGGGUGGCUUGGGCCAACGGGGGCGAGGGAGCCGCGCAGAGGGCAGGCCCCGACCCUUCCCCGCCGCACCUUGUGGGUCGGGUGUUGGGCGGCCUCCUGGCGCGGGAGGCGCAUCUGCUAGGAAGGGUGUGCGCUCCCCCCUUCUCGGCCUCCCCAUUUCGGUUUGGGGUGUUUUCGCAAGGUUGCCAGACGGUGCAUCCAGAAGGAAACCACCAGAGCACGCAGGGGGGCGUCGCCUCAGGAUGGGAAGGGGCGACCUCAGCCAGGAUUCAUCCCAUCACCCUACUCCACCCCCAUUCCGGCUUCCUUUAGGUUUAGGGCGACGUCCUCCUGGGAAGCCCUGCUCUGUCAACCCAGGAGCCCUCGGACCUCCACUUCUGUCCACCCCCUCGCGAAGCCCUUCAAGCCCAAGGGACUGGAGAAAGGCGGCUCCGGGGCAGCUCGGGCCGGAGGGUGCGUUUCUUUUCAUUCCAGGCAGCUCUCCGCGUUCGUCCCGCACAUCUUCGUCAUUACUGCUACAUUCUGGGCAUUCUGGGGGUGAUAAGUGUGGCGUGAAGGGAGGAGAAAGGGGAAGGUGCUGUGGAGUUACCUCUUCCUUUUCCAUUAGCAGGAACCGGGUUUUAGGAGCCUCGAUCAGAAAACCUAAAUAAGAUUUUUAAAUAUCCUUCAGCUGCUGAAGCUAAAAAUGCUACUUUCUUCCUGGUCUUACGUCCGGAGUGUGGAGUUGCGGCCCUCCAGAGCUACCUCCACCAGCGUCUUGGCCCAGUGGUCAUUAGGUAAGGAGAAGAGUGAAAUGGCUCAGGUGGAUUUUGAACUCUGAGCUUCAAUGCCAAAGCAUACGAAAUGUUCAGUGAUUAAAACUGGGAAACGCCUGCUCCCAGCAGCGUGGAAUGAUUUGAUUCACUAUCAGCAAGCAGUCUCAUGGAAGAACAGCAAGAAAGGUCUCUUCAAGCCUUUCAGAUGAAAAGCUUUCUUAAGAUUACAGCCCUAUGGUUCAAAACAAGAUCUCCGCUUCACAAUGCAAGGUAAGCAGACCUGCCACUAUGCUGCAGAAACCUCUGCCCAUUUUGGCCUUUAUUAAAAUAAAUUAUGACUAAUUUACCACAGAGACGUUCAGAUAAACAAGUUCUAACCUAGCAACUUGGUAUUUCCUGAUUAUUUAUAAAUCGACAGCACCUCCUACAGGAAUUAAUUUGUUAGUGUUAUGUUAAAUGUUAGGUUAGGGGAAAAGUCCCUGCGAAGGCAGAGGGAGAAAUGCCUCCAAAAUGUGUCCUAUGCCUCGUGCAGUUCCAGGCUCAUGGAUAAAUAAGAAACUUGUAAGUGUGCCAAGAUUUUAAAGGAACUUCUCUAUUAAGGGUAAGAAUGACAAAUUUCACCAGGCUGGUUUUCUAAAAAAUAUCCCCGUUGAGGACUUUUGUUUGGGUUCUUAAGUCGUAGAUUUAUUAAACGUGGAGGAUUCUUCUUAGGCUUUAGGUACGUAGAGGAAUCUCUACACGUACUAGACAUCCCUUUUAUUAUGAGGUUCAUCUUAUGAGGUUCAUCUCCUUGGUCUCUACCUUAUAUUUCAAAACAAAAGUAGAAUUACAUGUCCAAUAUUUUUAUUUUAAAAAAUUAUUUUCCAUCAUUAGGGUAUGUGGAACACAUUAACUGAGCCUCUUUAAAGCUAUUUGUUAUCAUGGUAUGAUUUUGUGUGAAAAUGCCUCUCUUCCGUUUUUAAGUUUACAGUUAGAAUGGUAGUUCGUUAGGGCUUUUGAGCACCCUUGGGUGACCAAGGCUGAAAGCCAAACAAAAUGAACAUCUUCCAUAACUACAUGGAAAUUUUUUCUCAGAAUUAGAUGGUUAAAAAUAUUGGAGAUUUUGGCAGUACUUUAUAGUUUCUCAAUCCUAACAAUAAGGAUAAUUAAAUCAGAGACUAAAAAAAAUCUCAUGGCCACUUUAUAAAAAGUGGACCACAUUGGCCAGGCAUGGUGGUUCACGCCUAUAAUCCCAGCACUUUGGGAGGUUGAGGCAGGCAGAUUGCUUGAAUUCAGGAGUUCAAGACCAGCCUGAGCAACAUAGCAAGAUCUCAUCUGCAUUAAAAAAGUGGACCACGGUUUGUGAGUCAAAUGAAAAAAGUGUAAGAAAUAACGUUUUAAAUUCAUUUUUAAUUUUAGGAUGCAUUUCAGCAUUUCUCUUCAUGAACACUGUAUUGCUUCAGAAACCCUUUAAGGUAGUAAGUAUUGCAUAGGUUUUGACAUUAUAAAAAUUAUAAAGUCUAAAAAGGCAUAAGGUAGAAAAUAAUCACUGCAACACUGAUGAACUCAAGGUGUAAAUUAGCAGUGUUUACCAAUUUCAAAUGCAUGCUUUUUUUUAAGUGAAGAAGGGAUCUUUGAGGUGCGCUGUAAGUUAUUUAACAAUACUGUGG
rnacentral:lncRNA from 1 species